UUAUCUUGCUUUUAGAUUUCAUCAUGCAAAAUGAUGGCAGAUCUCCAGAGGCUGCAGACAGAGCAGGGUGACUGGAUCUGUGAAUGUGGUUUCCCUGGAAUAUACAGAUGGGAAAUUUCCAUUCAAGAUGUGCCAAAGAUUUACUCCUUUGCAGUUCGACACUACAUAUAUCUGAGAACAUCAAAUAUGAUUCAUCAGUUCACAAAGGGACUGAAUGCUUAUGGGCAGUUCUGGGAUAUGGUAAGAACUCACUGGGUUGAGUUUUUGCCCAUCUUUACCAACAUGCAUGAGCCCCUUUCCAGAAGCACAUUUAGAGACCUGUUCCAAAUCCACUGGAGUAAAUCAGGGACCAAGAAGAGGGGGGCUGAGGAAGAUACUAUACACUACUGGGAACUGGUACUUAAGAUGAUUGAAGAUAAAAAACCAAAAGCUGCACAAAACGAUUUGCAUUUUAAGGAAAUUUUGGCUUUCAUAACUGGAGCGGGUGAAGUCCCACCACUUGGGUUCUCCCCGAAGCCCAGCAUUCACUUCUACCAACCAGAGCAGCGUGGAUGCCGUCUACCGUUUGCUAACACGUGCAUGAUGGGAUUGUUCCUGCCCAGGGUUGUAAAAGAUGAAGUGGAACUUUACAGGAUGCUCCUGAGAGCAAUCAGAGACUCAGCUGUUUUUGGGAGAACAUAAAUGUAUAUAAUUCUUUAUUAUAAUGUACACGGUCACAUCCAUAAUUAUGUAUAUUUAUAAGCUUUAUUUCAUUAUUUAUUUCAUUACUUAAGAAGAAAGCACUUACGCACUUACUGUAUAUUUUUGACAUAAAUGUUUUGCAUUCUAUGCCAGAUAAUUUUUUUGAUAUUUGUAAUAUAUACAAUAUAUUUAUAUUUGUAAUGUUCCUGAUAACUUUCUUUUAGUUGACUGCAUAGUAGUCACGUGUUACAUUUACGACUGUUUACAGAUCGAAGAGAAUAGGACCUAUCAAUCAUUAUUCUGUAAACCUGUUUUACCUGACAGACCUAUGCAGUAACACGGUCUACCAUAUUGUUUUCUGAGCUGUGCUUUGGUUUCGCUUUUUUGCUUAACUUACCCUGUCAAAGAAUGCUUCGGUACGCUGAAUAAACUGGAAACGGCUUAUUAUCUAAUCUUUAACGUGUUUUC
rnacentral:lncRNA from 1 species